GAGUGGCAUCAGGAUGCCUGAGAGGAGAGCAUGGUGUUUCUGCUUCAUUGGAUCCAUGCAGGUCUUGGAGGGUGGUGGCUCACUCUUUCUGGGCCAGGUAGAGGGUGGCUCAGAUACUCCCCUUCCUCCAGGCUUCUCAUCUGUAACUGGUGAAGCCCGGAAGAGCUUGUUGUUCAAGAGGAAAUCUUGUGUCACUUCUUUACGAAGAACUCCAGCCUGGUGGAGAUGAAUGAGUCCUGAAGAUGGAAUCAAAGCUGUUUGGGCACAAUACUUUAAUCAGCAUUUAAUGACCCAGUCGAAAAAUUCAUCGUUUGGACCCAAGUACUGGUGGGAAAGGCAGGAGGGGAGGCCUGCCUUCCUCUCUCCCUCCCGAACCCUACAGCAGGCCAUGGAGUGGUGAGCGAGUUCGUACCGUGCCAGCCACAUUCCCAGAAACUUCCAGCUGAGGUUAAUCCUGCUUCUCUUGGCUGGGAGACAAUGAAUGGAUAUUAACAAAUGGACUCCCUGUGUUGGCUAAUGCCACUCCCUACUCAACCUAGGAUGACUCCAAUGGUGCAUGUCCCCAUUCCCGGGCCCCAAGGUUGCAUUAAUGUGCUAUCCUGACUGCCUCUUCAUCCUCCAUCCCUAAUGUUCCCACUCCUUUCCCCUCCCAACACCAAGCCAUGCCUGAACUGGACACCCUUCCAUACCAACCCAGGAAAAAGUGAUUCAGCUCCGGUCCACCCUGGGUGCAGCGGUCCUUCUGCCAAGAUGCCUUCAUGUCAUACAGCUAUUAUUUUCGGGAGGAUUCCAAGUGAGGGCAGUCAGGGUAGGCUUGGUCCAUUCUCUAGACUUUGGAAGAUAAUGUUCCAUAGAGACCUGUUCUGAAGCUUUACCAGGUCAAACCGGAGAAGAAUCCAACAACGUAACUCAUCCCAGCCUAACUAUCCUUCAAGGGCAAUCAACCUACAGCAUCCAAGCACAGAGAAAUCAAAUCCAUAGAGAAUCUUCAAAUUAGGCUCAGAAUCCGUUUGGGACACUGGAUUUACUGUUAUCAAGAUCUUAGUUGUGUUCAUCCAUGAUCUGACAUACCUUAGAGUGAGAAGAUAUUCUUCCUGGUCUCAGACUAGUUGAAGGUAGAGAGAGAGAGAGAGAGAGAGAGAGACCCUUGGGUGUGGGGAGACCUCCCCUGGGAUAAUACACACACAAAACCAAGAGCUGCUCACUGUGGUGCAGUAGACAGCAGGGGCCUGAAGCCAGAGGCUCUCUCUGUGUCCUUGAAUACAACGCUUUACUCCUCUGACCCCUGUUACCGUGAUUUGAAGAGGCAGACAAUAUAGUAUGGGCUCUGCAGGCAGGGAAGUCCAGUUACAAUCCCAGCUCUUACUAAGUUGGGUAAGACUCAUUCUGAGGCUUAAUUUCUUCUAUCAUCUCUCAAUAGAAUCAUAAAGGUACUUUCUUGUUAGUGUUGUUUUAAAAUUCAGUAAAAUAACGAAGGCUUAGCACAGGGUCUGAUGUAAAUUUUCAAUGAAUUAUUGUUGUCAGUUAUUGUUCUAGAAAACAAGAGGGCAUAUUAGAUCAAAAGUACUGCCAAGCAUUGAAAUGCCAGUUCUAGAUCCAGUUUCAGUCCUCUGAGAACUGAUAUCAUUGUUUUCAAGCCAUUCAGAAACCAAUGUGAAUUGAACACCUAGUAUGAGCUCUCUGGGGGAAGAGCCAAGUCCUACAUUUUUUAUCUUAAGGGGUCUUCAGUACCUCUAGCCCAAAGCAGUAUCCCCAUCAGGAUUCCUCUCUGACAGUGUUCAUUUCCUUUUUCUCAAUGGAUGCCUUAAAAAAAAAAAAAAUCCAGCAAGGAAACCUGUACUCCUCAAACACACCACUCAGGUGACCAUUAAAUCAUUUACAUUGUU